rnacentral:rRNA from 1 species
GACGAACGCUGGCGGCGUGCUUAACACAUGCAAGUCGAACGGUGAAAGCGGAGCUUGCUCCGCUGGAUCAGUGGCGAACGGGUGAGUAACACGUGGGCAACCUGCCCCUCACUUCGGGAUAACUCCGGGAAACCGGGGCUAAUACCGGAUAUGACCUCCUUGGGCAUCCUUGGAGGUGGCACGUUUUUCGGUGAGGGAUGGGCCCGCGGCCUAUCAGCUUGUUGGUGAGGUAGUGGCUCACCAAGGCGACGACGGGUAGCCGGCCUGAGAGGGCGACCGGCCACACUGGGACUGAGACACGGCCCAGACUCCUACGGGAGGCAGCAGUGGGGAAUAUUGCGCAAUGGGCGAAAGCCUGACGCAGCAACGCCGCGUGCGGGAUGACGGCCUUCGGGUUGUAAACCGCUUUCAGCAGGGAAGAAGCCGCAAGGUGACGGUACCUGCAGAAGAAGCACCGGCUAACUACGUGCCAGCCGCCGCAGUAACAC